rnacentral:rRNA from 1 species
AGCAGUAUUGAACUGAAGAGUUUGAUCAUGGCUCAGAUUGAACGCUGGCGGCAGGCCUAACACAUGCAAGUCGAGCGGAUGAAGGGAGCUUGCUCCUGGAUUCAGCGGCGGACGGGUGAGUAAUGCCUAG